AAGAUUAUAGUUUAAAAAACCUUUGAUUUGCAUUCAAAAAUUAUUAAUAUAAAUUAAUUUAUCUUA
rnacentral:tRNA from 1 species